CGAUUCUGGCUCAGGAUGAACGCUGGCGGCGCGCUUAACACAUGCAAGUCGAACGGUUAAAGCCCCUUCGGGGGUGCAUAAAGUGGCGAACGGCUGAGUAACACGUGGGCAACCUGCCCCCCGCACCGGGAUAGCCUCGGGAAACCGUGGGUAAUACCGGAUACUCCCUCCCUGCCGCAUGGCUGGGAGGGGAAAUGCGUACACGGCGGGGGAUGGGCCCGCGGCCUGUUAGCUCGUUGGCGGGGUAACGGCCCACCAAGGCGAUUAUGGGUAGCCGGGUUGAGAGACCGACCGGCCAGAUUGGGACUGAGACACGGCCCAGACUCCUACGGGAGGCAGCAGUGGGGAAUCUUGCACAAUGGGCGAAAGCCUGAUGCAAGCGACGCCGCGUGCGGGAAGAAGGCCCUCGGGUUGUAAACCGCUUUCAGCAGGGACGAGGCGCAAGUGACGGUACCUGCAGAAGAAGCCCCGGCUAACUACGUGCCAGCAGCCGC
rnacentral:rRNA from 1 species